AAAAGAACUCUCACAUAUCUUCUACUAAUGGAGGAUUGAAUUUUGAUUGCUGAGUGGUGAUGGGUUGAUAAUGCUAGUCCACUUAAAACUUUAGAUGAUCAUAUUUUUCCCGAAUUUAGCUGUAGUUUUUUGUUUAUGCUUCUACGCCAUGUUGUUGUUUCGGCUGUUGCGGUGUUUCUAGGAUGCUACUCCAUAUUUCUAGGAUACUAAGUUGUAGCAAGAAGUUGAAAAUUGGAUCAUAUUGUUUGGAGUAGAAAUACAUGUAUUUUAGUGUUUUUUUUUUCAUGUAAACAAAAAAUCAUGGAUUCCCUGUACUUUUUAGCUUAAGAAAUUUGCUUGUCAUGUCUCAUUUUCUGUUUCUUGUGAACCUUUGUUAUUGACACCGAGUUAGAUGCAUUUUUUACUGACUCAGGUCAAAAGAACACUAGAAUUAAGGCACAAUAUUUAAGUUUAGACAAUGUUACAAAGAACUUGAGAAAUUUCUAUGCACAAGCUUACUUGGGACAAUUACCAAAACAAGCUCCAAAGUAUUGGCUUCAUUUUCAAGUUUCUGUACUAUCGCUUGGUUGGAAUACUUACUUUGUCUCAAAGGCAUAUAGUACAGUAAACAGGAAUUUACUCUCCAAGAUAAAGAAUCCACAAAAUGAUACCAUUGAAGUUGGGCCUAGAGAUUUAAAGCUGACCUUUUCGUCUACCUCAGGACAACUAAAACAGAUGUACAAUUCUAAAACUGAGGUAUAUUGAGAUGAUUUCUUUGGAGCAAUUCUUGACAACAUUUGUAGUUGAGGCCUUUAGAAUGAAAGAAUGUAUGUCACUAAUUUUUGUAUACAUUUCUUGUUUUGUAUUUAGUGAUAAAGGAAUCUGAAUUGGGCAUAAAUUAUGUUGUAAUAUGAUUUCUUAAGCCUAGACUAGUAGACUAAAUAUUGUAAUUACA